AAGCUGACGCGUUACGUCACGGUGGGCGGAAGUCCCGGCCGCUGUUUUGAAAUCAGGCCGCCGGAGGCUUGGAAGCUCCUUCCACCGCGGAGGCCGGCAGCAACCCACCGGCGGGCGGACCCCCUGACGCUUACUUCCAAGCCCCGCAACCUCGCCAUGUCCACCCCUCCGUUGGCGGCGUCGGGGAUGGCGCCAGGGCCCUUCGGCGGGCCCCAGGCUCAGCAGGCCGCCCGGGAGGUCAACACGGCAUCGCUCUGCCGAAUCGGGCAGGAGACGGUGCAGGACAUCGUGUACCGCACCAUGGAGAUCUUCCAGCUCCUAAGGAACAUGCAGCUGCCAAAUGGUGUCACUUACCAUACUGGAACGUAUCAAGACCGACUAGCAAAGCUACAAGACCAUCUUCGCCAACUUUCUAUUCUCUUCAGGAAGCUGAGACUGGUCUAUGACAAAUGCAACGAAAACUGUGGAGGGAUGGAUCCCAUUCCAGUGGAGCAACUAAUUCCAUAUGUGGAAGAAGAUGGCUCAAAGAAUGACGAUCGGGCUGGCCCACCUCGUUUUGCUAGUGAAGAAAGGCGAGAAAUUGCUGAAGUAAAUAAAAUGGAGGCUCUGAAAGAUCCGGUGAACUCUGGUGCUUAAUCAUAAGCCAUUUAUAUUUAAGAAUGAGACACUAGAAAGCUAAUACUAGGCUUUAUAAAAACUCAAACAGAAGAAUCAACAGCUGAAGCAAAUUAUGGAUCAAUUACGAAAUCUCAUCUGGGAUAUAAAUGCCAUGUUGGCAAUGAGGAACUAAACUGAUAUUUAAAUUUCCUGCUUUUCACAUUAUGCCAUUUCCCCCCCCUCAAGUGUUUUUUCCCUUUGAAGAAGAUUAUUUAUCUGCUUUUAUUCUACUCACUAGAAUUAAAGUUCCUAUUUUUACAUUGCAAUUUUAUAUUAUUCAUUGGCAGUUUUUUUUAAGCUUUUGAUUCUAUGGAAGAUUAUUGUAAUAAACUUUGAUAGGGCUUAUGUUUUGGUUAAUCUUCACGAAUUGAAUUCUUUAAGCAAAAGAAGUUUUGUAAAUAAAUUUUUCAAUUUGA